rnacentral:rRNA from 1 species
UCGGGGUGCAGCAGGCGCGAAAACUUUACAAUGCUGGCAACAGCGAUAAGGGGACCUCGAGUGCCAGGAUACAAUCCUGGCUGUCGUAAUGCCUAAAAAGCAUUGCAUAGCAAGGGCCGGGCAAGACCGGUGCCAGCCGCCGCGGUAACACCGGCGGCUCGAGUGGUAACCGCUAUUAUUGGGUCUAAAGGGUCUGUAGCCGGCUGACUAAGUCUCUUGGGAAAUCUGGCAGCUCAACUGUCAGGCUUUCAGGAGAUACUGAUCGGCUCGAGACCGGGAGAGGUGAGAGGUACCUCAGGGGUAGGGGUGAAAUCUUGUAAUCCUUGAGGGACCACCAGUGGCGAAGGCGUCUCACCAGAACGGAUCUGACGGCAAGGGACGAAAGCUAGGGGCACGAACCGGAUUAGAUACCCGGGUAGUCCUAGCCGUAAACGAUACUCGCUAGGUGUCGGCCACGGUGCGACCGUGGUCGGUGCCGUAGGGAAGCCGUGAAGCGAGCCACCUGGGAAGUACGGCCGCAAGGCUGAAACUUAAAGGAAUUGGCGGGGGAGCAC